rnacentral:rRNA from 1 species
AUUGAACGCUGGCGGCAGGCCUAACACAUGCAAGUCGAACGGUAACAGGAAGAAGCUUGCUUCUUUGCUGACGAGUGGCGGACGGGUGAGUAAUGUCUGGGAAACUGCCUGAUGGAGGGGGAUAACUACUGGAAACGGUAGCUAAUACCGCAUAACGUCGCAAGACCAAAGAGGGGGACCUUCGGGCCUCUUGCCAUCGGAUGUGCCCAGAUGGGAUUAGCUAGUAGGUGGGGUAACGGCUCACCUAGGCGACGAUCCCUAGCUGGUCUGAGAGGAUGACCAGCCACCCUGGAACUGAGACACGGUCCAGACUCCUACGGGAGGCAGCAGUGGGGAAUAUUGCACAAUGGGCGCAAGCCUGAUGCAGCCCUGCCGCGUGUAUGAAGAAGGCCUUCGGGUUGUAAAGUACUUUCAGCGGGGAGGAAGGGAGUAAAGUUAAUACCUUUGCUCAUUGACGUUACCCGCAGAAGAAGCACCGGCUAACUCCGUG